AAAAAGGAUAAACAUUAUGGAUUUCCAUUAUCUCAAGCAAUUUGUGCAUCGACUUCUCACGAAUUAUACACAGAGUCGAUUGUCGAUGCAAUAAUUGCUGAUUCGUGAAAGCGGGCAACUUUUGCUUGUCUUAAAGUGCCUUAAAUCCAACAGAUAUCAUCGUUAUAAUAUUACUUUGUUUGUAAAUUGUUUUAAAAAAUAAAUUUAAAAAUAACUUUUAAAUAAA